GAUGAACGCUGACAGAAUGCUUAACACAUGCAAGUCUACUUGAAUUUGGGUCCUAGACUUAGAUUUGGGUGGCGGACGGGUGAGUAACGCGUAAAGAACUUGCCUCACAGUUAGGGACAACAUUUGGAAACGAAUGCUAAUACCUGAUAUUAUGAUUAUACGGCAUCGUAUAAUUAUGAAAGCUAUAUGCGCUGUGAGAGAGCUUUGCGUCCCAUUAGCUAGUUGGAGAGGUAACGGCUCACCAAGGCGAUGAUGGGUAGCCGGCCUGAGAGGGUGAACGGCCACAAGGGGACUGAGACACGGCCCUUACUCCUACGGGAGGCAGCAGUGGGGAAUAUUGGACAAUGGACCAAAAGUCUGAUCCAGCAAUUCUGUGUGCACGAUGACGUUUUUCGGAAUGUAAAGUGCUUUCAGUUGGGAAGAAAAAAAUGACGGUACCAACAGAAGAA
rnacentral:rRNA from 1 species